UACUAGAGUAGCACUCGCAUAUCAAUAAGCGGAGGAAAAGAAACUAACAAGGAUUCCCCUAGUAACGGCGAGUGAAGCGGGAAGAGCUCAAAUUUGAAAUCUUAAAGGGUUUCCCUUUACGAAUUGUAGUUUAAAGAAGUGUUUUCUGUUGAGGUUUUGGUAAAAGUUCUUUGGAAUAGGACAUCAUAGAGGGUGAGAAUCCCGUAUUUGACCUUUACUUUCAACUUUGUGAUACACUUUCAAAGAGUCGGAUUGUUUGGGAAUGCAGUCCAAAAUGGGUGGUAAAUUUCAUCUAAAGCUAAAUAUUGGCGAGAGACCGAUAGCGAACAAGUACCGUGAGGGAAAGAUGAAAAGAACUUUGAAAAGAGAGUUAAACAGUACGUGAAAUUGUCAAAAGGGAAGCGUUUGACACCAGUGUUGUUUUUCUGAAAAUCAAUUAAAGAACUGUUUAUGCUAAGCUGUUUAGACUUUAUCAGCUAAUCUGUUUAGUUUUGAGCUUUUCUUUAAUGCACUUUUCAGUUAACAAGUCAACAUCAAUUUCUUUUGCUGUAAAAAAGCUUGAGGAAGGUGGCUUGAGAUUCGUCUUAAGUGUUUAUAAAUAGCCUCUUGCCUAUGCAGUCGGAGAGAUUGAGGUCUGCAGCGUAGAUCCUUCGGGGCUAAAUGCAUUUGUGCUAAGUUAUAGCAUUUCAUAGACAACUUGUUGACUAUGAUUUGUCUUGUAGCUUACUCGCUUAUGUUAUUUUACCUACGCUUAGGAUGUUGAUAUCGCGCUCUCACUG
rnacentral:rRNA from 1 species